CUUGCCUUUUCGAGAGCGUUUGUCCUAGCAAGGAUGCUCGCUCUCGCUCUCUCCCUCUCUGUAUAGCAGUAUCAGUCUAUAUUUGCGAUGAGCGUUUGUAAGGGAUGAUCGUUGUUUUCCGCAACUCGUAGAGCUCGCCAAGGCUUUUGAUUACGCCCAUUAUCAAAUGGAAGCACCAGCAAAAGGUCUCAAGCAGAACACGAUUGUGCACCGGGUAACCGGCUCUGGCAAGGCACUGAUAUCCAUAAUGCCGAUCGUUCACUUAAGGGAUGGUCGUUGUUUUCCACUACUCGUAGAGCUCGCCAAGGCUUUUGAUUACGCCCAGUGAUUACCAAAUGGAGACACUGAUACCCAUAAUGCUUCUUCACAGGUAUGUGUACCUUUUGCAAAAGCUGUCGCCUUAUAUCUUUCUUUUGUACCUUCCUUUUUCCAUGUUGAGGACCCUUUUUAUUCAUCACUAGUCCUUGAUUUUAACCGGUUAAAACUUUUAUGUCUUCCUCCUCAAAUGUUGAUGCGCUACAAUGAAAAUAAUACCAAGGACUGUAUAUAUCUGUCAUUGUUAUUGUUUGUAAACAAUUAUCCUAGCAAGCUGAAGCUGUGGCGAUACACAUUGACCCGAAAGAGGGCAAGUAUUGGGGAGAAAUGGGAGCAGACUAUUGGGAUGCCAGAAUUUGGAAACAACCGGACAAAUAUGAGGUGUUAUUGGUCGCUUCUUUACUUUUCAGUUUUGUGUGGCUCUGAUUAUUUACUUGUUUUUAAUCAUAAUCACCAUAUGCAAUUGCUCUAUGACUUUUUGUUUGUUGAAUUUGUUCUCUAUACAAAAGGCUCAUUAAGUAUGAUAUGAUUUUUGUAAUUUGUUCUAGUUUGUUUUAGAUUGUGAAGUCAUACUUUCUGUAGUCUUUUUUAUCAAAUUUGGGCUUGUGGCAUAGUCAAGUUCUGUUAACACAGUGGCUAUUGCUUGCAGGUGUUUGUAAUGACAUCCAUGAUCUUGCCAAACACUUAGGCAUAAGUUUUUUAUAUUAGACAUGAUAAGAAGGUUCUCAUUUUCGAUGAAUGCCAUAAUGCUAUUGGAAGGCAUCCCUAUACCUGCACCAUGACAGUGUGUCAAUUGCUAUUACACUAUAUUCCUUACUGCUAUUUGAUCCACCAACAACUGAUGAUAAUGUGAGCUAAAAAUUAAACUUUCAAUGUUCUGUUGGCUUUAGUUUGUCUAGUACUUGUGGAUGGAUCUUAAAUUCAGUUAUAAAAUAACUUCAGAGGCUAACACCUAAUCAUAGAAAAAUGAGAUCUUCCAACAGGGAGGAAAACGUGUAAAACUCUAACAAGCUUGAGGGCUCACCUGUGUAGGUGGGCCAUUUGUUUUUUGAUUCUAAUACUUCUUGUUCUACUGAUUUACUAACUUCUCUCUUAUCCAAGUGACUUUUGUCCAGCCUUCUAUGGUGCCAACGGCAAAACUAAGAAAUGCCCCUGUAUGUAAUGAUGUUUUUGGAAAAAUAUUUAUGAUUGAACAUACUAUGAAAAAGUCUAUAUUAUUAGUUAUGAGCCUAAAAUUCUCAGUCAUAAAAUUAUCCUUUUCGGUUUUCGUAUUAUGGUGUUAUUUCCUUAGUCCAAUUGGGUUUGCAAUGCUCUCCUGCAUAUUUGUUUUCUAGAUAAGGUUUCUGGGACAAAAUUCCCAAACAAGCGUUCUUUCAUUGUGUUGUAUAAUUUAAGUUCUAAGUAGGUAUACUUCUAUCUUUGUGGAACUGAGCCAAUUAUACUUAUAUUAGUAUGCUCUGCUAAUUUCUUAAAAGAAACCUUUGAUCUAUAGAUUGCCUUAGCCUAGCCUUACAUUUACUUUUAGCCAAGAGGCCUUCAAUGUGUAAAAUGACUAUGUCUUUUUUUGUCCAAGUUUACUUGUCAGCCAUUAAUUAAUUUUAUAGUAUAGAAAGUUGCAAGUUUGUUUGGCUUGUCUCCAUGAUAAAGAGGAGUUUACUAGCAUGUUGUGUAUUUCCACUUCCUGUAUGUCUAUGUGGAUGUUGGCAUUUAAACAUGCACACGCCACAACCUGGAUUAUAAUCAAUUUGAUUAAUUGACUAGCACUUCUUCAAUAGGUAAUUUAAAAUUUUCAGUAAUCUACUAUUUUGUCUAAAAAAUAAUUAACUAAAUACUACAUUUUCAAAAUUAUUACCUAUCUACCAUGUUUGAGACUACCCAGUAUGUCACGCUGGAGGGAGAGCCAGCGUGAGUGGUCUGUAUAUGCAUAACCACCUGUGGCAUAGAACCGCUUGUGCCACAAGCGAUUCUUGUUGAGCACUUUGACAAAAAUAAUAAAUACAUAGAUACAAGCGGAUAUAAGUAAUAACCACUUGUGUUACAAACGGUUAUUAUUGUCAAAGCAUUUGAGGGGCAAAUCUGAUAAUGCAAACUGGAAGCAGAUUGUAUGCCAAGUUAUUUUCCUUUUCUGUAAAACUUUUUCAAUCUUCCAGUUUCAUCUACCAGAACUUGUAAAAGUCUUUGAUCAAGUUUACACUUCCACUCUAGCGAAAUUAUAAGUUCUAUUAAUAUGAUGUUUGCCCAUACAAAACAAGAGCAAAUUCCAAUCAGAGCAAUGCCAUCUUCAUUUCCUCCCAAAAUAUGGCAAGAAUAAGAAGUGGAUGUGGUGGUGCUGUGAUUCAAACCGAGUUCACUGCUGAAAACAAGGAGAUCGCCCGGGCUCAGCAAGCUGUUGGGGUGUCCACCUUGUAUUUUCAGUAGUGCCAAUUACCUUGCUGUUGGUUUCACCGACCUCCAUUGUGUGAGACAGUUACUGGUCUUUAGGGGAAGGCUCAGCCUUGACUCUAGCAAAUGAUAGUUGUUGGUAGUAGAUAUAGUUUUUGACAGCAACAAUUGCUUGUAGCAAAAAUGGUUAUUAAUUAUUGCCACUUGUGAUCCAAGCGGAUCUACAUUUUUAUUAAUAACACCAACACUUGGAUGAUUUAUUAUAAGUGUUUUGCAAGAUCCUCUUGUGGCAUGGGUAGUUAAGAAAUUAAUGCCUAGCCAUGUUAGCCAUCCUUUCAGUAUGGCAUCGCAUGCAGCCCCAAAGGUGGUAGAUUGGUAAUAAUUUUGAAAAACGUGGCAUUUAGUCAAUUUUUUUUAUGCAUUUGAAAAGGGUUAUACUUUUUUCUCUUUGGGCAGGUUUAGUUCUUCUGGGUUUUAUGUCCUCCCCUUAAGUGUUUUGUCUUUGGAUUUCCUCCAAUUGACUAUGGAGUUCACACUUGAUUGUCUCUCCUUGCAAUCAAUACCACUUACAGUUUGCUCUUGACAGUCAACCCACAGAUGACUUUAUUCAUCACUGUCCACACUUCUUCCUGACUGUUUUGGGAAACUGACCUCGUGUACAACUGUCUCCAUCAUCAGUCUUUCCAUUUUGGUUUGGACAACCUACCAUUAGUCAAGUUUCCAACACUUCAUCCUUGGCUGGCUUAGCUCUCGGUCUUCUCCUUAUCUCCUGGACUAUCCCUGGUUGAUCCAACAGUUUACUAUUGGUUCUGUACUGAUGUAAAUAUCUUAAGAAAUAUUACUCUAGGUGUAAAUUUAGGGACUAACACUUUUUUGUUUAUCUCCUUCAAUCACCAACAGUAGCAAUUUAUUAAUUCCAAGCUGUUCUUUUUCUCUGCAUUUUUUGCUUCGUAUUUUUAAAAUCCAUGUUAUUGUAUGGCUGUCUAAGUUUGUUACUGUAGGAAUGAGUGUUUGUCUUAGUUGAUACUUCUUUGUUUAGGUAGCGUUUGUUAAAAUGACUAAGAUAAGGUUGUAUCAAGAUGAUGUUGGAAUACUUUCUGAACUAAGAUAUGGAAUGGUCAAUAUAAGAUUGAAAAUCAUUUCAAAAUUUUUAUCAAAUUAUUUGUUAAAUUUUUUGGAAUGUACUAGAGGACAUAUGUAUUAUUUUUUCUUAUAUGUAAGAUCCAAGAUAUGCUUAUUUAGAGAGGGGGGGGGGGGGGGGGGGAGAUAAGCAUAUUUGAAAAAUGCCAGAUAAGAAGUUGCGUGACUUCUUCUCUAAGGGUCAUCAAAUAAGUUUAACAAAUAUAUUGGAAAUGACAAAAAUUUAGAAUGCUUUCCAUAUCUUACAUUUUCUGAUCUAUAUCUUGGUUAACAAACACUACCUUAGGAUAUACAUUUUUCAAUGAGUUCUGUUCUGUUUAUUUUCUGGUACUUAUAUCUCAUUAGAUUCCAAUGCAUUUGCUGGAGUCGUAUCACUGCCAGCUGCAAUGCAUUACUUCCAAGCUGUUCUUUUGCAUUUUCUGCUUCAUAUUUUUAAAAUCCAUUUAAUGUAUGGUUGUGUAAAUUUGUUACUGUGGCAAUGAGUGCCUGUAUUAACUGAUACUUUUUUUUUUUUUUUGACCUAUACAUUUUUUUUUUUUCCCAGCUAGUUCUGCUUUGUCCACGUUGUGAUAUUUGUAACUAAUUACAUUCCAAGGCAUCCGCAGGAGUUCUAUCUCCGCUAGUUACAAUAUAAUAAUUCCAAGCUUCCUAGGAUAUUCAGAAUGACUGCUUCCCCAGUAAAGGCAAAAGAUAUGGAAAUGUUUAGAGCCGAAUUUUAUAUUGAUUUUAAUGUUCAGGAAGCUGUUGUUUAUGUCAUCAUUUUCUUUUUGUUGCUUGCUUGUUCAGAAAGGUAGGGCUACAACUGUUUUUGAUCCAGGAUCAAGCCAGGGUCUACCUACCAAAAUUUUCAUCUUUUUGUUACACUGCUAGGCAUUUGGCUUUUACUCACGAUCCUAGUAAUACCUGGUUUUCAUCAUGCGUAUAAUUCGUUGCCUUUGUUUUCUGUACCAUUUUUAUUUCAGUUUGUAGCGCUCUAUUAAAUUUCUUGUCCUAUAAUUGAGUAUUCCUUGAUUUGUAUAUUUUUUUCAAUGCAAUUAAUCACUUGCUCUAUGAUAAAUGGUUGGAUAAUGGAUAACUGCAGAAUAUUUGUCAUGUGAUGAAACUGACUUCUUAUUGUGGGAGAAACUAGAUGUGCAUGUGGAGACCAUUGUUAGGGAUUUGAGCUUGGAGGUAUUUAAGGUUUUGUGUACUUAUAUAAACAACAACAACAACAACAACAUAUCCAGCUUUUAUCCCACUAUGUGGGGUCGGCUACAUGAAUUCUAGACUUCCAUGUAUUUCUGUCUUUUGUCAUAUCUUCAUUUAGGCUCAUACACUUCAUAUCAAACUUUAAUGUCUUUUCUAAAAUCUUCUUGGAUCUACCUCUAUUUCUUUUUUUGACUAAUUGUUCCAUUUCAUCAACUCUCUUCACAUGAGCGUCUCUUGGUCUUCUUCUCACAUGACAAAACCAUCUUAGUCUAGUCUCUCUCAUCUUCUCCUCGAUUGGCACUACUCCUACCUUAUUACGAAUAACCUCAUUUCUAAUUUUAUCUUUUUUUGUAUGGCCGCGUUUUGUGUACUUAUAUACGGUCUGGUAAUUUCUGCAACUUUUACUGACAUAAUCGUUCUAUGUUUGUUGUCAAAUCUCUGAAUUCCUGUUGCUUGCUUAUUCAUUCUUGCCCUUUCUUCAUUUUGUGGUACAUAUAAGUCAGCAGUGGUCUAUUGGUGAUGACUUAAAUGCUGAUCUGGUUGCUGGAUAUCUAUCUUCAAAAGUCAUUUGUCUCAUUGAAUCUCUUCUUGAUUACGGGUUCUGUUGCAUGAUCAGAAUUUUUCUUUGUAGCGUAUAUUUUAUUUGUCUUGUGCACUUCGUAUGAUACUGAUGUAUCCUGGAAGGUGGUCUGAAGUCAGAUCACAGGCUGAAGGUGCAUAAAUCUGAAUUUUGUUUGGGAAGCAACAAUCUCCAUUUUCCAGCAUGUAAAGAUUUGAGUUCCAUGAUCUAUGGCAUCAUUAGAAACGAAAAUAAAACAUAAUCUUUUGUAUUUUUCACUUCAAAACUUCUCACAGUUCUCUAUCACUAUCUUGGAAAAUUGUUUGACUUGGUAGAACCAAAUAUUUCUUAGUUUUUUAAUUUUUUCUGACCUCAACAUACUUUGGGUGCCCAUCAUGGUGGGUUUGUUCUGGGCUUGUUCAAGUAUGAUAUUAUGGUCAGAUGAUGAUUUUGUUAUUCGCAUACAUGAAUAUAUUAAUAGGUAUUUGAUUUUUAUGUCCUUGUCUUGAUUUUGUGGAAUUUGCUGUUUUGGCAUGGUCAUCUUGAGUUGCAUUUAUGCGUGGGGAUGUUUAACCAUGCUUUGUAGUGUCUUAGCUUCAUUGGAGGAUGUUGUAGGAGAAACUUGGAGUUAGUCUGAUUCCUAUUGGGAAAAUAAAUUUGGAAAUGGUUAAAAGGAUUUUAUUUUUAUGAUAACUAUAAGAUUAGGUGUUGCAUGUUCGAAUCCCAAGCUUUCCUUGCUAAAUAAUAUGGGCAUAUAUUCUGCGGAACACCGUUCUCCCUUUUGAGGUUCUAACCAUGGAGCGCACAAAUUCCAAAAACGCACUGUUACUCCCCCAAAAAUGACUCCUCCAGCUGGGGAACACAUUAGAUAUUUACCUAACCUUGUAGGUCCUUGAGUGGAUGCCACAUUAGCCCCAAGAUGUUGGUUUAACUUCUGAAAACUCUUCUGUUUCAAAAUUAUGUUCCAGCAUUUACUUAGAGGUUGUCAUUUCUUGCGUGUUAUUUUAUGUAGGGAUUUGAAGGAUUUGUGUUGUGUAGUUUUUGUGGAAAGAGUUGUUACUACUGCUGUUAUUCAAAUGCUGUUGAGUGAAUUUCUAUUAAAAUGAAUGAGUUGGAAGACCAAAUAUAUUGUAGGAAAUUACUCUAGUUUUCUGUCACAAAAUAGAAAUACGCAAAACAAAACUGUUGAAGAAUUUCGUGAUGGCAUGGUAUCUUUUUUCGUUAGAAUAAUAUGCUCUAGUGUCACUAGAUAAAAAUGCUUUUAUGCCAUGGGUUAUUUGUAGGUGAAUAUCAUAAUUGCAACUUCAAUUCUUGAAAAGGGUUUGAAUGUUCAAAGUUGCAAUCGUGAUUAGAUUUGAUCCAUCAGCUACAGUUUGCAGUUUUUUUCAAUCUCAAAGUCGUGCUCGAAUGCAGAAUUCAGAUUUUUUGUUGAUGGUUAGGAGGUAUGCACUCAUUUCUUCUAUUACGUUUAAAAAAUCAAAUGAAGUCCGUGAGGGCCAUGGUUUUUUGUUUCUGCCUCUAGUCUAAAGGGUAAAUUAAUCGUACACCCUUUGAAUUUGGCCAUUUGUCUUAGACACUCCCUUAAACUUUAAAAUUUGCCUAACCAGUCCUUAAUCGUUUCAAAAUUAACCACAACACCCCCUCAAAUUUAGGGGUUGUCCUGGUUAAUUAUAGAAAAUUUAGGGAUUGAUUGGGUGAAUUUUAUAAUUUAAGGGGUGUUAGGGUCAAAUGACCAAAGUUACGCUAGUGUGUGACUAAUUUACUCUUUAAUGGAUUAGAGGUGGAAACACAAAACCAUGGCCCUCGUGGACAUCAUUUUAUGUUUUUAUAGGUAAUAAAAGAAAUGAGUGCAUACCUCUUAACUAUCAACAAAAAAUCUGAGUUCUGCAUCCGAGCACGACCUCGAGACUAAAAAAAAUUACAAAUUGUAGUUGAUAAAUCAAAUCUAAUCACUAGAUUGCAGCUUUGAACAUUCAAUCCUUCUUCAAGAAUUGAAGUUGCAAUAAUGAUGUUCAACUGCAAAUAACCCAUAGCACGUAAGUGUUUUUAUCUAGUGGCAUACAAAGGAUAUUAUUUGAACAAAAUAAAACCUACCAUGCUCUCAAGAAAAUUUUCAACAAUUUUGCUCUGCGUACUUCUAUUUUGUGACUGAAAACUAGAGUGAUUUCCUGCAAUAUAUUUUGUCUUCUAGCUCAUUUCUUUUGGUACGAAUUCACUCAAAUAGUAUUUGAAGAACAAUAAUUGUAAUAACCCUUUCCACAAAAAUUAUGCUAUGCAAAUCCUUCAAAUGGAAUCCCUUCAUGAAAUAACACAUAACUUCUAAAUAAAUGAUGGAACCCUUCAAAUCCAAUCCCUUCAUGAAACAACACAUAACUUCUCAUGACAUAACUUCUGAAUAAAUGAUGGAACGUAAUAUCAUCAUGAUGUCUCCUAUAUCUGUUGCUAUCAUUUAUUCUUUCUCAUUCUUGCCAUCUAUCAUGCAUCGGAUUGAGUGUUUGCUUAUUGCCAACAAGUUGAAAAGAUGUAAUUGGAUGUUAUUAUUUCAACUGCCAAGGUAUGUUCCUGAUGGGCAACUCGAGCAACCCACAGUCAGAGAGAGGUAGCAGGGUAGAAGGAGCUAGAGGAGAUGGAGGGUGCGUGCUAGAUCGAGAGAUAUCAAGUGCUGCCAUGCUACCCUCUAAUUGCAAUUUGCACAUACUACAAAUAUAGUCCAGAUUCCGGAAUUAUCAAUUCCUCCUAAAAAGGCCACAGGAGUUCUUUCAAGAGAAGAAACCUAGAGAGAAGCGCCAGAAAAUAGAAGGAAAGAGAGAAGAAAAUGGAGGAAGUUGAAUUGGCAACCGGUGGAAGUCAAGAAAUAUUGCCCGAUGCAUUGCCUUUUGCUAGAAGUUACCAAAUGGAAGCACUGGCAAAAGCUAUCAAGCAGAACACGAUUGUGUACUUGGAAACCGGCUCUGGCAAGACAUUGAUAGCCAUAAUGCUUCUUCGCAGCUAUGCGUACCAUCUGCGAAAGCCUUCACCCUAUAUUGGGGUUUUCUUGGUGCCUACUGUUGUUUUGGUCGCCCAGCAAGCUGAAGCUGUGGCAAUGCACACUGACCUGAAAGUGGGCAAGCAUUGGGGAGAUAUAGGAGUGGACUAUUGGGAUGACAGAAUUUGGAAACAACAACUGGACAAUUAUGAGGUGUUUGUAAUGACACCCACGAUCUUGCUGAAUGCUUUGAGGCAUAGGUUUUUGACAUUAGACAUGAUAAAGGUUCUCAUUUUUGAUGAAUGCCAUAAUGCUAGAGGAAGACACCCGUAUGCUUGCAUUAUGAUGGAGUUCUAUCACCGUCAGUUACAAUAUAAUAAUUCCAAGCUACCUAGGAUAUUUGGAAUGACUGCUUCCCCUGUAAAGGCAAAAGGGUCAAGCUGGGCAUCUACCUACCGGAAUCAGAUUCUUGAGCUUGAGAAUCUUAUGAACUCAAAGGUUUAUACAACUGUUGAUGAAAAUGUGUUGGCUGAAUACAUUCCUUUUUCAACUCCAAAGCUGAAGUUCUACGAUUCCUGGGAUAUCCCUUAUGCAUUAUUUGAAUGUUUAUCAAAUGAUUUGAAGAAUUUAAAGGAGAAGCAUGAGUCUGCCCUACGAGAAUCAAACAUGGAAAAGUCUGCAGCAGAUUCUGCUAGGGGAAGAUUAUCAAAGCUGGUCUCAACCUUUUUGUUUUGUUUGACUGAGCUGGGUGUUUGGUUGGCUCUGAAGGCUACAGAAUCUUUGUCAUGUUAUGGAACUCACAUCUGCUUGUUGGAGAAACUGGAUGUGCAUGGUGAGAGCAUUGUUAGGGAUUUUAGCUUGGAUGUAUUUAAGGUUUUCUCUGCUUAUAUACCAUCCGGUCAAGGGUGGUCUAUUGGUGAUGACUUAAAUGCUGAUAAGGUUGCUGGAUAUCUAUCUUCAAAAGUCGUCUCCCUCAUUGAAUCUCUUCUUGAUUACAGGGAUUUGAAGGAUCUACGAUGUAUAGUUUUUGUAGAAAGGGUUAUUACAGCUGUUGUUCUUCAAAUUCUGUUGAGUGAAUUGCUGCCAAAACUGACUGGCUGGAAGACGAAAUUUAUUGCGGGAAAUCACUCUGGUUUGCAGUUGCAGAGUAGAAAUAUACAAAACGAAAUUGUUGAAGAGUUUCGUAAGGGCAUGGUGAACAUCAUUGUUGCAACUUCUAUUCUUGAAGAGGGUUUGGAUGUCCAAAGCUGCAAUCUUGUUAUUAGAUUUGAUCCUUCAACUACAGUUUGCAGUUUUAUUCAGUCUCGAGGUCGUGCCCGAAUGCCGAACUCUGAUUUUUUGUUGAUGGUGAGGAGUGGGGAUAAUGCUACACUUAAUCAAAUGAAGAACUAUCUUGCCAGUGGAGACAUCAUGAGGGAGGAAUCACUGCGCCAUUCUCACCUUCCCUGUGAACCUCUUGACAGUGAAUUGUUAAAUGAGGCUUUUUAUUGUGUCAAAAGUACAGGAGCAGUGGUAACUCUGAGUUCUAGUGUGGCCUUGCUGCAUUUCUAUUGUUCGCGGCUACCUUCUGAUGGGUUUGUUCAAGGCUUUGUUUUCCAUGGUUUAAAGUAUUUUAAACCCUCUCCUUUGUGUGAAAUAGAUAAGAAUUCACAACUUUGCACAUUGACAUUCCCUAAAGGUUGCAACUUACAACCUGUUAGUGUGAAAGGCAAUGUCAAAACUCUGAAGCAACUUGCAUGCUUAGAGGCAUGCAAACAACUUCAUCUGAGUGGUGCAUUAACUGAUAAUUUAGUGCCAGAUAUUGUUGUGGAAGAAGCUGAUGCACAGGAAUUGGGUUGUGAACCAUAUGUUGAUGAUCAAGCUAACUACUUCCCGCCUGAGUUGGUUGGUCAUCACGAAAACAAUUCUACAAGGUUAUUCCAUUGCUACUUGAUUGAGAUGCAAAGGAACUUUGAGUAUAAUGUCCCACUUCAUCAUAUUGUACUCGGUGUCAUGACUAAGCUUGAGAUUGAUGAUGAAAAGAUUGCUUUUGAUUUGGAAGUGGAUAAGGGCAACUUGUCUGUGUGGGCAAACUAUGUUGGAGUAAUGAGCCUUAGUUCUGAAGAGGUGCUUCUGUGCCAAACAUUUCAGAUCUCUCUUUUCAGAGUUCUAUUUGAUCACAAUUUGACUAAGUUGGCAGAGGUUCUGAGUGCAUUUAAUUCAAGGAAAGAUUAUUCAAUUGACUAUCUCUUGCUCCCCUGUAGUGGCCCAUCUCAAAAUCCAUUGAUUGUCGAUUGGAAAUGCGUUAGUUCUGUGAUUUUUCCUUAUGAAAAACUCAGGGAUCAUAAUACAAGUUGUUGCCCUCCCAAGAGUUAUGGCCGCCUUGUGCAUGCUAAGAAUGAUUUGGUGUGCAGCUGCAUGUUUGAAAAUUCCUUGGUAUACACACCUCAUAAUGGUUAUAUUUAUUGUAUCUCUGGAACUUCAGAUAAUUUGGAUGGGAACUCGCUGCUGAGGGAAAGGAGUGGAGAAGCCAUUACUUACAAACAAUAUUAUAAAUCGCGGCACGGAAUUGACCUGUGCUUUGAAAGGGAAUCACUGCUCAUAGGGAAACAUAUAUUUCCUGUGCAAAAUUGCCUUAAGAGGCGCAGACAACUCAAAGAGAUAGGACAAAGUAACACAUUUGUUGAAUUGCCUCCUGAGCUUUGUGUCAUCAUCAUGUCUCCUAUAUCCAUUGGCACCAUAUAUUCUUUCUCAUUCCUUCCAUCUAUCAUGCAUCGGAUCGAGUUUUUGCUUAUUGCCAACAACUUGAAAAAGAUGCACUUGGAUCACUGCAUGCAAAGUGUUAUAAUUCCAACUGCCAAGGUCUUGGAAGCAAUUACAACAAAAAAGUGCCAAGAGAAAUUUCAUCUUGAAUCACUGGAGACCUUGGGGGACUCUUUCCUUAAGUAUGCUGCCAGUCAACAGCUAUUUAAAACUUACCAAAACCAACAUGAGGGACUGCUUAGUGUUAAGAAAGAUAAAAUCGUUUGUAAUGCUGCACUGUGCAAGCGUGGAUGUGACCACAAACUUCCGGGCUUCAUUCAAAACGAACCUUUUGAUCCACAAAUGUGGAUUAUUCCUGGUGAUAGAUCUGGACAAUAUAAAUUAGAUGAAGAAUAUCUUUCUGCAACAAGGAAAGUUUUUAAUCGGGGAAGGAAGAAAGUAAAAAGUAAAACAGUAGCUGAUGUUGUGGAGGCACUUAUUGGUGCAUUCCUUAGCACAGGUGGCGAGAAGGCAGCCUUGUCAUUUAUGGAUUGGCUGGGUAUAAAGGUGGAUUUUGCCAAUGUACCGUAUGUGAGGCAAUUUUCAAUUGAACCCAAGAGGCAUGUUAACAUCAAAUAUCUAGAAUCCUUAUUGAACUUCUCAUUCCUUGAUUCUUCUUUGCUUGUUGAAGCGUUAACCCAUGGUUCUUACAUGCUACCGGAGAUUCCAAGAUCUUAUCAGCGCCUAGAGUUCCUUGGAGAUUCAGUGUUGGAUUACCUUAUAACCAUGCAUCUGUAUCAGAAAUAUCCUGGAAUGUCACCUGGGCUGUUGACUGAUUUAAGAUCAGCUUCUGUAAACAAUGACUGUUUUGCUCGAUCUGCAGUCAAGGCUGGAUUACACAAACACAUUCUUUAUUCCUCACAAGAGCUCCACAAACGUAUAGCUGAGACUGUUCAUAAUUUUGAGCAGUUAUCUUUGGCAACAACUUCUGGAUGUGAAUCUGAAACAGCUUUCCCAAAGGUGCUUGGAGAUGUUAUAGAAUCCCUAGCAGGGGCUAUUCUUGUUGAUUCAGGAUACAACACAGAUGCUGUCUUCCAGAGCAUAAGGCCUCUUCUGGAGCCUUUGGUUACACCCGAAACAUUGAAACUGAAUCCAAUUAGGGAGCUGAUUGAAUUAUGUCAAAGGGAACAUUUCGUCAUGGAAAAGACUGUGGUUUCUCGCGAAAGAAAUUUGAUAGCAAUUACAAUAGAGGUUCAAGCAAAUGGUGUCGUACACAAGCAUACUAGCACCGCGCCGGUUAAGAAGACGGCCCAAAAACUGGCUUCCAAAGCUGUGCUCAAGUCCUUGAAGGAAAGGGAAAGCUUAUCUUGAGGCAAGACUCAAAGAACACAUUUUUUAGAGUUCUAUCAAUGCCAGUUACAAUAUAAUAAUUCCAAACUUCCUAGGGUAUGUGGAAUGACUGCUUCCCCUGUAGAGGCAAAAGAGGUUGAAGCAAAUGAUGUGGAACACAAGCAUUACGAGUAAUGCGUUGG